CGAACGAUGAACCUCCUUCGGGAGGGGAUUAGUGGCGAACGGGUGAGUAACACGUGGGCAAUCUGCCCUGCACUCUGGGACAAGCCCUGGAAACGGGGUCUAAUACCGGAUACUGAUCAUCUUGGGCAUCCUUGGUGAUCGAAAGCUCCGGCGGUGCAGGAUGAGCCCGCGGCCUAUCAGCUUGUUGGUGAGGUAAUGGCUCACCAAGGCGACGACGGGUAGCCGGCCUGAGAGGGCGACCGGCCACACUGGGACUGAGACACGGCCCAGACUCCUACGGGAGGCAGCAGUGGGGAAUAUUGCACAAUGGGCGAAAGCCUGAUGCAGCGACGCCGCGUGAGGGAUGACGGCCUUCGGGUUGUAAACCUCUUUCAGCAGGGAAGAAGCGAAAGUGACGGUACCUGCAGAAGAAGCGCCGGCUAACUACGUGCCAGCAGCCGCGGUAAUACGUAGGGCGCGAGCGUUGUCCGGAAUUAUUGGGCGUAAAGAGCUCGUAGGCGGCUUGUCGCGUCGGUUGUGAAAGCCCGGGGCUUAACCCCGGGUCUGCAGUCGAUACGGGCAGGCUAGAGUUCGGUAGGGGAGAUCGGAAUUCCUGGUGUAGCGGUGAAAUGCGCAGAUAUCAGGAGGAACACCGGUGGCGAAGGCGGAUCUCUGGGCCGAUACUGACGCUGAGGAGCGAAAGCGUGGGGAGCGAACAGGAUUAGAUACCCUGGUAGUCCACGCCGUAAACGGUGGGCACUAGGUGUGGGCGACAUUCCACGUCGUCCGUGCCGCAGCUAACGCAUUAAGUGCCCCGCCUGGGGAGUAC
rnacentral:rRNA from 1 species